rnacentral:rRNA from 1 species
GGUUGGGAUUAGGCAGCAAGUCGAACGGGAUCCUGGAAACGGAUUCUUCGGAUGAAGUUUCCUGGUGAGAGUGGCGAACGGGUGAGGAACACGUGGGUAAUCUGCCCUGAAACUCGGGAUAGCCCUUGGAAACGAGGAGUAAUACCGAAUGUGGUCGCCCUGGACAUCCAGGGUUGUCUAAAGGUGGGGAUCUUCGGACCUGCCAUUUCAGGAUGAGCCCGCGCCCUAUCAGCUUGUUGGUGAGGUAAUGGCUCACCAAGGCAAAGACGGGUAGCUGGUCUGAGAGGAUGGUCAGCCACACUGGGACUGAGACACUG